UACGGAAGGGGCAAGCGUUGUUCGGAAUCAUUGGGCGUAAAGGGCGCGUAGGUGGUUCUGUAUGUCUACCGUGAAAGCAUACAGCUCAACUGUAUUUUGUCGGUAGAAACUGCAGGACUUGAGGCUGGGAGGGGCUGGUGGAAUUCCCUGUGUAGCGGUGAAAUGCGUAGAGAUGUGGAGGAAUACCGAUGGCGAAGGCAGCCUCCUGGGAUAACACUGACGCUCAUGCACGAAAGCGUGGGGAGCAAACAGG
rnacentral:rRNA from 1 species